rnacentral:lncRNA from 1 species
AGUAACUGGUCUACAAAAGUCAUUAUCGUAGGAAAACAGCUUCCGAAAACUGCUUGUAGUUCUAUGACUUGAUACCAAAACCUCGUUCUAAUGGAUUUACAGGUAACUAUGUAUUAAUAAUUACAGCAAUUUUCAAGCUUUCACUGUAACUUUAUUUUAUGUUCAUGUUCUCAUCUCCUAACAUUAAACAGGGUAACAAAGUGACAGCUACAAUGUAUGAUGCAAAUAUUACAGCACUUAACGAUCAGCUCAUACUCGAAAAGACAUAUAUAAUCUCGAACGCUAUGGUGAAAGAUAACAAAAGUGUGUUUAAAAGUUCACAUGAAGAAAAUAUUUGGACUAUAACAGGGAAAACAAAGAUCGAAGAGCUCAAUGAGAAUAACUUAAACUUCCUCUUUUCAAAAUAUGAGGUCAGCCCAUUUCACGAACUUGAGAAGCACAUGGACAAGAACGUCAACAUAAGUAACAUUUCUAACUUCACAACCAGUACUUCUAUGCAUUAUUUUAUAGUUAUUUUGUUUGUGUUAAAAUUUACUACAUGCAAAAUACAUAACAAAGAAAAUUUUCCCGUCCCUCCAGAUGUUAUAGGAGUAGCUAUAGAUAUUCGACAAAACGAAUGAUCCAAACUCACUUCGGUACAAAAGCUUGUCUUCGGGACGUUAUAUUAAUAGAUAAACAUUUUGACACAGUGAUGCUAACCCUGUGGGACACGUUUGUUGAAUGGGAAUGUAUUGCCAUUGUUGAAAACCUAGCAACCAGACCUGUUAUAUAGACUACAAAUCUUAAAGUUUAUUCAUUCAAUGGUAAGUUCAAUAUAAACAUACCAUUUUAUUUACAAUGACAUUACAACAAAAAAUGUAGACACAUAUUAGUUAUGAUUCAUUUUUUUGCAGGCAUUACACUCUCGACUAAAGUCAACAGCAGUAUCUUCAUUAAUGCUGACUUAUUGGUUGUUGCAGACUAUAAAGAAUGGUUUAGAAACAUACCUAAAUAAUUUCUUAACUUCUUUCCGCUAUGUUCUACAUGUAACUAUAUAAUUCUUUCAUGAAAGGUGAUAGCAAAUAAUGAAAAACUCAACAAACUUACAGAAAACAAACCAUCUGUUACUCUCAGCCCCACAAAACUGUUACCUCCAGCUGAAAAUAAAUUCACACCAAUUGCUGAAUUACUGGAAGUCUAUCUGGGGGUAUUUUCUCAACUACUUCAUUCAAUAUUAUAUAGCAUAAAUAUAUUUUUACUACAUUCCAUAAUAAACAUUAUGAAAACACCGAACAAUUUAUACUCUUAGUAUUUUCAUAAUUUACUAAAACAUACAUUUUUUUUCACAGAACAAAUUCUAUUGGAUCAAGGCCCAUUGGAGAGUUAUUGCAACACACCAAAAAUUUUGGUACAUGUCCUGUGGUAAUUGCAAAAAGGAUCCAAUGCAUACUUCGGACAAAUUUACAAAUGCCAAUUUUGCAAGGAUGAACAUGCAAAAGCAGUACCA